UGGUUUAUGGGAAAAUUAUAAGAACAUGCGUUUCCCUCGCCUGCUUCCUAUCACUCCCACAGUGGAGCCUUAGCAGAUUCUCAGCCUUAGCAACAAAAUCAAUAACAGGCUAACGUAAUUACUCUGCAGAGAGGGCAGACUGUGUCAGCUAUUACUUUAUUAAGGGAGAAGAACACGUGUGAAAGGACAGCAUCCUGCAAGGACGGAAGAAUUGGGAGAAUGCAGGAAAGAGGGCAAGGCAGAUCAUAAAUAUGCUGAAUUGAAGGAAUUAGGAUCACACCCUGAAAUGGCAGGAAAAUGAAUGUUUGCUUUUUCUGGUUUAUUAUUUGCUCAGUGAUACUUUAGCAUUUCAAAAUGACAAACACCUUGGCUGUGGUUCUAUCAGUCUCUUUGCUUUAUUUAAUUUUAUAAAGAAGAAUGCUCAGGUGUUAAAAUAUUUGUUCUCUUUUCACUCGCAAUUUUCUUCAUUUUCUUCACAAAAUGGAAUGACCCUCCAAGGAGUAUUUGAGAGUUUCCCCAACAUUGCAGUUGGCUUCUCUUAGAGAGAAAGUUUCAAGAGACUAAGGUGGAAGAUUAAGGUGCCAAUGCCUUUAGGAUCCAGCUUUAGAGGUCAAACACUGUCACUUCCACAGUCUGCUAUUUGUCACAUAGUUUUUAUAGUGGGCAGACCAGUCCAGUCCCACUUACUCCAUCAUGGAUACAAACAGAAAAAUUGCUCAAGAGAAGUACAGCUGAUUUUGGAAUAAGGUUCUGACAGGGAUUUUUCCUCAGGAUGCCUUAUAAAGAAGACACUAUGAAAUCAUAACUAACUUAUUUGUCAACGGAUAUCACAGAUCCACUCCUGUGACUUUGGUAGGCAUGGCUUUUAAUGCCCAUCCUGUGUUUGAUCAUUAGCCGAUUGAGGUUGACACUGUUUCGUCUUCUGCUGAGUGCUGACCAGGCAAAUAGCCAUCUAACAAAAACUGAUCUGUGGACGAUAACAUUAUGAAAAGACAGCACAUAUGUAAGAUUAAUGAUCAGCCACUCAAUGAGGGCAGGAGGUCUCUAAAAGGGAAUAUGAGAAUACAUGAUGUUUGGAAACCACAAAUUGGACCCUUUUGCAUGUGGAAACAUAUAUCAAUCUGAACUGUUUACUGUGACAUGGGAAGAUACUUUUGAGAAGGGCAGUAUGAGGUGAUGACGAGACAGUAGUUAAAAUAAAGAUACACGCACAAUACUUUCAUUAAUUCAGCCUAAGCACAGAGGCAUAAUUGACACAUCAGAGUCAAGGGGCUCAUCUCUUUGAUUGACAUAAUCAGAAAACCAGAAUAUAUUAAAAUAAUGAAAACUGGUCUUCCUUCAUGUAGAUAUUGAGUUCAAAGGAGGAAUUCUAUAUGAUCAGUAUUAGGGUGAAGCGGAACAUUUCAUUGAGAGUAGAAUAGUGUCAACAUAAGAACAUUCAAACCUGUAGAGAACUUUUAUAAGAGUAUGAGCAAAACAGGAUAAUGCUGGGAAACAAGAUCUCAAAUGCUCUGGAGAAUGACAAAUUUGAAGUUUAUUUUAUUCCUUUGGAAUUGAAAGUGGAAUGUGAGGAAGAUUAUGUAACAAGCUGGUUAGCAAGAUGAUGUGCUCCCUUAAGUGUGGUUACAUCUUCCACAGAUCUGGAAAAGAGGAUUACUUCUAGCAUUUCACAGGUGAAUUAACUGAGAUGCACAAAAACAAUCGACAGGGCUUGCUUAAAUCUUUUCCUAGAAGAGUUAUAGGUAUGGGGCAUGACUACCCACCAUGACCUGCUCAGUUAGGAAUUUAUGUUCAGGUUACCCUGUGAGUUACUUGCAGCCACUGGACUUGUCAGUUUAAUUACAGAAACUCCCUUCUUAUCCAUAAUAGAUAAACCAAUGGUGGUAUAUUCAUAUGAUGUCAUACCAUACAGUCACCCACUACAGUAUGGACAGAUCUCACAAGCACCAUGUUGAGUGAAAGAAAGAAGCCAGACGUGAAAGAACACCAAUUUUCAAAUUCCAUUUAUAUGAAGUCUCGAACUAAGUAAAGCUUAGCAAGCGUAUUAGAAAUUAGGAUCGUGGUUAACUUUGGGGAGAAAUGUGGGUGUUUUGACUGAUAAAAGAUAAAAGGAAUAUUUCUGGGGAUAUGGGUGCUAUUUUCUCUUGAGAUCUGGGUGGUGAUAACAUGGGUGUUUGCUUUGAGAAAUUCAUUGUGUGAUUUACUGAACUGCAUCAUUAUGAUUUGUGUACUUUUCUGUAUCUGUGUCAUUAAAAAACUAACAAAAAAACUUUAUGUUAGGUAUUGGCCAAAAAUAUUUAAAACUCAUUUUUUAAAAAUCAGAACAUUUUUUAAAAAUUAGAAAUAAUUUAUACAAUUAUCCUACAGACAAUGGGAAGCAAAUGUUAACUAUUUAACCAGAACUGUUAACUAGAACUGUUUCUUAAAAUAAAUUAUAAACAGAAUGUCAACUACAGAUAAUUUCUGGCCAUUAAUUGAGUAAUUUCAGAUUAAUUGUGUAAUUUAAUGUACUUUUAAGUGCUUUAAUGGGAAACCAGAUACAUUUCUCAUAGUAAAACAGUAAGAGAUUUAAGACCCUUUAUGAGAGAAAAUGUUUUAGUUUUUAUUUUCGUCUGUUCUCCAAGCUUAGAACAAUGCCUAGCACAUGACAGAUGUUUUGUAAAUAUCUGUGGAUGACUGGCUGAGAGAAAAAGUAAAAGUGUAUUCAACUGAAGUAAAUGCAUAUUUGAAGAGAAGAUGAUGAUCUUAGUAGGGUGUGGCCAACACUUUAACUUACUGUCUAUUAAAUGGAGUACUGCAAUUGUAAAUAAGUCUUACUGGAUAUUUGUCACUCUAGAUGCCUUGAAAACUGAGAUGAGGCAGAAAAAACAACACAAGCAAAGGCAAGGCUAUAGGACAGCUAGAUGUAUGUGGGGAAGAGUGGACAAGGAGUUCCUUUUUGGCUAAAGGAUGGAGGCAGCAGGGAGAUUAUAAUGGAUGAUGGUGGAAAUCAUGGAAUUUGGAGAAGACAAAUAGGUGAUAUUGAACAUCAAAAUAUGACUUUAUGGUUUUGUUUGAACUCACCCAUCCUUGCCUUCAAAGUUCCACUUCCCAAUACCACGGUGAAGGCCAGUAGAGGCCAAUGAAAUGACCUGGCUCAACGAAAGUGUCUGCACAAUUUUUCUCAAACUGGAAAGGUUUUCUCUGAAAUGUAUUUCAGUAUCUAGAGAACAUCAAAAUAGCUGAAAAAUAAAAAGUAUCUGAUUGCUGUUAUAUGCUA